rnacentral:rRNA from 1 species
GACGAACGCUGGCGGCGUGCUUAACACAUGCAAGUCGAACGGAAAGGCCCUGCUUUUGUGGGGUGCUCGAGUGGCGAACGGGUGAGUAACACGUGAGUAACCUGCCCUUGACUUUGGGAUAACUUCAGGAAACUGGGGCUAAUACCGGAUAGGAGCUCCUGCUGCAUGGUGGGGGUUGGAAAGUUUCGGCGGUUGGGGAUGGACUCGCGGCUUAUCAGCUUGUUGGUGGGGUAGUGGCUUACCAAGGCUUGGACGGGUAGCCGGCCUGAGAGGGUGACCGGCCACAUUGGGACUGGGAUACGGCCCAGCCUCCUACGGGAGGCAGCAGUGGGGAAUAUUGCACAAUGGGCGGAAGCCUGAUGCAGCAACGCCGCGUGCGGGAUGACGGCCUUCGGGUUGUAAACCGCUUUCGCCUGUGACGAAGCGUGAGUGACGGUAAUGGGUAAAGAAGCACCGGCUAACUACGUG